AACGAACGCUGGCGGCAGGCCUAACACAUGCAAGUCGAACGCUGUAGCAAUACAGAUUAGCAGACGGGUGAGUAGCGCGCGGGAACAUGCACUUCGGUUCGGAAUAACUCAGGGAAACUUGAGCUAAUACCGGAUACGCCCUUAGGGGGACAGAUUUAUUGCCGAAGGAUUGGCCCGCGUCCGAUUAGCUAGUUGGUGAGGUAACGGCUCACCAAGGCGACGAUCGGUAGCUGGUCUGAGGGGAUGAUCAGCCACACUGGGACUGAGGCACGGCCCAGACUCCUACGGGAGGCAGCAGUGGGGAAUAUUGGACAAUGGGCGCAAGCCUGAUCCAGCCAUGCCGCGUGAGUGAUGAAGGCCCUAGGGUUGUGAAGCUCUUUCGCCAGGGACGAUAAUGACGGUACCUGGAUAAGAAGCCCCGGCUAACUUCGUGCCAGCAGCCGCGGUAAAAC
rnacentral:rRNA from 1 species